rnacentral:rRNA from 1 species
UACGAAGGGGGCUAGCGUUGUUCGGAAUUACUGGGCGUAAAGCGCGCGUAGGCGGGUUUCUAAGUCAGGUGUGAAAUUCCGGGGAUCAACCUCGGAACUGCAUUUUAAACUGGAUACCUAGGGUCCGGGAGAGGUUCGUGGAAUACCGAGUGUAGAGGUGAAAUUUGUAGAUAUUCGGUGGAACACCAGUGGCGAAGGUGACGAACUGGACCGGUACUGACGCUGAGGUGCGAAAGUGUGGGGAGCAAACAGG